AACGAACGCUGGCGGCAGGCUUAACACAUGCAAGUCGAGCGCCCCGCAAGGGGAGCGGCAGACGGGUGAGUAACGCGUGGGAACAUACCCUUUCCUGCGGAAUAGCUCCGGGAAACUGGAAUUAAUACCGCAUACGCCCUACGGGGGAAAGAUUUAUCGGGGAAGGAUUGGCCCGCGUUGGAUUAGCUAGUUGGUGGGGUAAAGGCCUACCAAGGCGACGAUCCAUAGCUGGUCUGAGAGGAUGAUCAGCCACAUUGGGACUGAGACACGGCCCAAACUCCUACGGGAGGCAGCAGUGGGGAAUAUUGGACAAUGGGCGCAAGCCUGAUCCAGCCAUGCCGCGUGAGUGAUGAAGGCCCUAGGGUUGUAAAGCUCUUUCAGUAGGGAAGAUAAUGACGGUACCUACAGAAGAAGCCCCGGCUAACUUCGUGCCAGCCGCCGCAGUAACAC
rnacentral:rRNA from 1 species